AAAAUUUUAAUAGUCGAACAGACUAAAUAAAUUAUCAUCUUCAAUAAUUAUUAAUUUUAAUCCAACAUCGAGGUCGCAAUCUUUAAUUUUAAUAAGAUCUUAAAAUUAAAAUAACG
rnacentral:rRNA from 1 species